GGCUGUCGCCAGCACCCGGCCAGAGCAGCUGUGGCUUUCCCCAGCCAAAUCCCCGUGUCCUUGGGGGACAGAGGAGCCACCAUCAGCCAGCUCUGCACCCCCACGGUGCUGCAGACCCCGCGCUGCCUUUUUGCAGGUGCCCUUUGGGUGCCUCCGAGGGUCCCCAGGGAUGCCAAGGCACCUCCCCGGCCCCAAAUUGGCACCGGGGGCACGGCAGCUCCCUGCCAUGGCCAACCCUUGCUCGCAGCUUUCCCCAGCCCAUGAUGGGGUCGGACGAGAGGAUUUCAGAGCUCCCUUUUGACCUCUGAAGUGAUCGUGAUUCUGUGAUGCCCUUCGGUGGAUGCAUUUCGCCCUCCUGGUUCAGUGCCCGCUGCCAAUUUCCCCGCUCCUCCAGCUGGAGACGUGCGCAGGGCCAGCAGCUGUAACCAAAUCUGCAGCUUUAACCAAAACAAUCUUGGGUUUUACCAAAAAUUUGCUGUGAGUUUGGCAGCUGGGGAGGACCCUGCUCCAUGGGCUCUGGCCACCUUCCAAACGCCAAGACAGGGCAAGGGCAAGGGACGAUAGAGGGGCCGAAAACAGCACCCGAAGCACCUGGAGACCUCCGGGAGGUGCCAGCAGGAUCAAUCCCAGCUGGGACCGGAGCCCCCCACCCCUCUCCCCAAACCCCUCCCAGCAGCACUGGUGGCUCCGUGCAGGACCAGCCGAGUGCCCUGUAGUGCUGCUGACGGCACCAGACCCUCAGCAGCUCCUCCGGAUCGACAUUAAACUUAAACCAAAUUGCGUCGUGCGCUACAGUGCGGAUGCUCGGCUGCGUUUUCCUCUCCUAACGAUGGAGGCAGUGGGAAUUGCAGCACCAUUAAUUCCUCCCCCUGCCUCCCGUGAAUAUCCACAGGCUCUCCCCUCACCCUGUGCAGCGGGUCGGAGGCUGCUGCAGCCCCGUCCCCUUUUUGUAGGGGCUCGGUGCUCGCGGCGAGGCUGGGAACGAGCUGGAGCAGCCUGCGACCAGGCUCUCAGGGUGGGAAACUGCUGCUGAGCGGGCAAUGAAGGUUAUUAAAUGUCAGGGAGAAAUAAAGCCGCCUUUUUUAUUAUUCUCCUCCCCCCUGAAAUGGUUUGGAAGCGCUUUGUGCUGCAGUGGGAGAUGAG
rnacentral:lncRNA from 1 species